GACGAACGCUGGCGGCGUGCUUAACACAUGCAAGUCGAACGGUGAAGGGAUCAGCUUGCUGGUUCUGGAUGAGUGGCGAACGGGUGAGUAACACGUGAGUAACCUGCCCCCUUCUUCUGGAUAACCGCAUGAAAGUGUGGCUAAUACGGGAUAUUCUGCGCCUGCUGCAUGGUGGGUGGGGGAAAGAUAUUGUUUCGGCGGGGGAUGGGCUCGCGGCCUAUCAGCUUGUUGGUGGGGUGAUGGCCUACCAAGGCGGGGACGGGGAGCCGGCCGGGGGGGGGGGGACGUUACAACUGGGACGGGGCCCCGGCCCGACCCCUACGGGGCGGAAGAGUUGGGGAAAAUGGACAAAGGGGCGCAACCUGGUGGCGGCGCGGCCGGGUGGGGGUUGGGGGCCUCGGGGUGGUGACCUUCUUCGGCAGGUGAGCCGGGCCUGUCCCUGGUGGGGGGUUGACGGUAGCUGGAUAAGAAGCGCCGGCUAACUACGUG
rnacentral:rRNA from 1 species